rnacentral:rRNA from 1 species
UACGUAGGGCGCAAGCGUUAUCCGGAAUUAUUGGGCGUAAAGAGCUCGUAGGCGGUUUGUCGCGUCUGCCGUGAAAGUCCGGGGCUCAACUCCGGAUCUGCGGUGGGUACGGGCAGACUAGAGUGAUGUAGGGGAGACUGGAAUUCCUGGUGUAGCGGUGAAAUGCGCAGAUAUCAGGAGGAACACCGAUGGCGAAGGCAGGUCUCUGGGCCGAAACUGACGCUGAGGAGCGAAAGCGUGGGGAGCAAACAGG